rnacentral:rRNA from 1 species
GACGUAGGGGGCGAGCGUUGUCCGGAUUUAUUGGGCGUAAAGCGCGCGCAGGCGGUCGGCAAAGUCGGGUGUGAAAACCAGGGGCUCAACCCCUGGCCUGCAUCCGAUACUCGUCGACUAGAGGCAGGUAGGGGAGAUCGGAAUUCCUGGUGUAGCGGUGAAAUGCGCAGAUAUCAGGAGGAACACCGGUGGCGAAGGCGGAUCUCUGGGCCUGUCCUGACGCUCAUGCGCGAAAGCUAGGGGAGCAAACAGG